CAAAAUGUGGCAUUCAAUUCCAAUCAUGUGUUGCCACCUGAACCGCCUGAAAGUGAGAUAUGGAUCACAAUGAACAAUGACAGCUUAUCAAUCUUUAACAAAUUCACACUGAAACAUUGAAAGGAUAAAGACAAGUUAGUUGUUUUCUGUUUCAGUAUGUUCAGGGUUUGUGGGGAGGUUCACAGACAUCCUCAGGGAGGAUACCAAGUAUUGAAAUGUCCGGAUGAAUAAAAGAGACAGUCAUCUGUGCAGCAUCAAUGCAAAGAAAGACCAUAGAAGAGCAACAAAACUGAAGUCCUGCUUGAGAUCCCUGGAUGAGUACUCCAGGUUGACAGUCUGGAAGGACGAGACAAGGGAGUCCUAAACAGAGGCUGCACCCCUUCAGAUAUCAGAGGUGAUUUGCAGACAGCGAUGACGAGGGUCCUGUUAUUUCAAUGGAGGCCGACCGAGAAGUUGUAUUCCAAAUGGUACUGGGACACACAAAGGCUGGUCUGGCUAAUGUGAGAAGACCAACCAAUGCCAAGCUGGAGUGGAAUUCUUCCAGGACAUUCAGGAAAUUCUUGUCUUGAGCCAUAUGGUAAACACUUGAAAGGAAUGAUAAAUGGGACUUAUUGUCUUUAAAUGUGGACCCAGACACCAAAUGAAAAGUUCACAAUUCAUCUAACACAAUGCAGCAGAGAUAGAGUCUAACUGGUAUCCCCUUAUCCUGGUUCCUGUUCAUCCAUGGCAAUAUAGAAAGAAAAGGAGGAUUGAGGGAAAGUAAGUUCUCUGAACUGGUGAACAUACUCCGUAGGUACUGUCAAGCAAACAGUUAUCACACUCUGUUAUGAGUAUUGAAGAAUAGGAUGAAAUUGCAUACUGCAUCAGGAACCAUCAUGUGAACACUGUUCAAUGUGCAAUAUACUAUAGGCAUAUGAAUAAAAGAAAUUGAUAA
rnacentral:lncRNA from 1 species